rnacentral:rRNA from 1 species
AUUGAACGCUGGCGGCAUGCUUUACACAUGCAAGUCGGACGAGUGGCGAACGGGUGAGUACCGCCUCGGAAAGUACCGAGUAAUGGGGGAUAACUGUCCGAAAGGACAGCUAAUACCGCAUAUUAUUCGAGCGGCGGAUGUCUGAUUAGCUGGUUGGCGGGGUAAAAGCGCACCAAGGCGACGAUCAGUAGCGGGUCGGAGAGGAUGAUCGGACACAUUGGGACUGGGACACGGCCCAGAAUACUACGGGAGGCAGCAGUGGGGAAUUAUGGACAAUAGGCGCAAGCCUGAUCCAGCAAUGCCGCGUGUCUGAAGAAGGCCUUCGGGUUGUAAAGGACUUUUGUCAGGGAAGCGGUACCUGAAGAGUAAGCACCGGCUAACUACGUGCCAGCAGCCGCGGUAAUUC